rnacentral:rRNA from 1 species
GACGUAGGGUGCGAGCGUUGUCCGGAAUUAUUGGGCGUAAAGAGCUUGUAGGCGGUUUGUCGCGUCUGCCGUGAAAAUCCGGGGCUCAACCCCGGACUUGCGGUGGGUACGGGCAGACUAGAGUGUGGUAGGGGAGACUGGAAUUCCUGGUGUAGCGGUGAAAUGCGCAGAUAUCAGGAGGACCACCGGUGGCGAAGGCGGGUCUCUGGGCCGUAGCUGACGCUGAGGAGCGAAAGCGUGGGGAGCGAACAGG